AAUAAAUGUAUAUAAAUAAUGUGUACAUAAAUGUAUGCUACUCUGUAUCAUCGUAUUUAGCAAGAAACAUACACAGGAUAUUGCAGAUUCAUCUUUGCAACGUUCAUGGAAAUGUAGAACGGAAUGAGAAAAUAAUUGAACCGUCAUCGUAAAACAAUUUAUAUCGUGAUAACGGCCGACACUUCACAAAAAACGUAAUAGAUAUGCCAGAAAUGUUCAAAAAUGUUCGUGCUUUAACGCUUUCUGCGUAAAUACAAUUUUAAGAGCGACAUUUACAAACAAAUAUAAAAUUGCUCCGAGGUAUGUACUUCACGAAUGCACAUUCUACAAUGAGAUGCGGGAAGCUGCGAGAUUGAAGAAGGCCAUUGCGUUUGCGCGGACUUUGACCGAAGUGUUAUUUCACAUGAAACAUAAAACCGUUAAAUUUCGUCCAACGUGUUGAAUGUUUUACUGGCGAAUUAAAUCACGAGUGUUCAGAGUUUGAUCGCGAAAGUGAUAGUUCGUAUCGCCUUUCGCUUUCCUUUCAUAAUGUGUCAUUUGGUAUUUCGCGGUAAAAGAGAAAUUCGCGCUCGAGAGGGAAGUUGCAAGAAUAUUCGAUGAGCGCCGAUAUUCUGCAUAAAUACAAUUUUGAGAGCAACGUUUACUAUCAAAUAUUAAAUGCGUAAUAUAAAAAUGCGUAAGCAACGCGCGUUAUAUUUUAUAUUUUAUAUAAAAUAUGCCCCAUAUCAUAACACACGAUAAAACACAAAACCAAUCGACGAAGCAACGUACUUUUCAACACGAACAAACAUGUAUAUCUUACAAAAGUACACACUAUACUGCGGCACGCGAGACCAUGAGGCUGAAAAAGGGCGACUACGCUUGCGCGGUCUUCGAUCCAAAAAUUACUACAUGAUUGUCAGGUUAGAAAAUAAACAUCCGGUAAAUUUUAUUCGAUGCAAUUACUUAACUGCCGACUCUUAUCCUACCAAUGCUUUAUUGCGAGAGUGCCCGUCUUAGUAUUUUUGUGAUUCUUGACACCACAUUUACGCAAAAUUAGAUAGUUUUUGUUGAAUAUACGUUUAGAAAGAAAAUAUAAAAUUAAAGAAAAUUAAAGAAAAAACGACAGCCUAUUUUAUUGAUGGGUCAUUACGAAGGACUACCGCAAGCAAACUGCUUCUACUUUUCUGCGGUUAGACGCGUCUCAACUCUCGCGAAGAAAUAAUGAAUACCGAUUUGUAUAAGCGUAUUAGUGUCACUCGUACUCUUCUUCUCAUGGUUGGUUUAUGGCCUUAUCAUCGAACAAAGUUCACUCAAAUUCAACGACUGUUAAUUUUUAGUAUUUUAUCGAGUUUUAUUGCAUUUCAGGUACGUAAAUAUUUCUCGUUAUAAAUCUUUAAAAUUAUUCCAUUAAGAAAUAGUUACGUAAAAAGUUAUA